rnacentral:rRNA from 1 species
UACAGAGGGGGCGAGCGUUGUUCGGAAUUACUGGGCGUAAAGGGCGCGUAGGCGGCCUCUUAAGUCGAACGUGAAAUCCCCGGGCUCAACCCGGGAACUGCGUCCGAUACUGGGGGGCUUGAAUCCGGGAGAGGGAUGUGGAAUUCCAGGUGUAGCAGUGAAAUGCGUAGAUAUCUGGAGGAACACCGGUGGCGAAGGCGGCAUCCUGGACCGGUAUUGACGCUGAGGCGCGAAAGCCAGGGGAGCAAACGGG